rnacentral:snoRNA from 1 species
AAGGCAUCAAUGAUGAAUAAUACAAUUCGUUAUCCUUGCACUUUGAUUAUUAAAUGAAGAUAAUCAUGGGAAAUAUUAUCUGAGAUGCUU